UACGUAGGGUGCAAGCGUUAUUCGGAAUUACUGGGCGUAAAGCGUGCGCAGGCGGUUAUGCAAGUCAGAUGUGAAAUCCCCGGGCUCAACCUGGGAACUGCAUUUGUGAUUGCAUAGCUAGAGUACGGUAGAGGGGGAUGGAAUUCCGCGUGUAGCAGUGAAAUGCGUAGAUAUGCGGAGGAACACCGAUGGCGAAGGCAAUCCCCUGGACCUGUACUGACGCUCAUGCACGAAAGCGUGGGGAGCAAACAGG
rnacentral:rRNA from 1 species